rnacentral:lncRNA from 1 species
UGAAGGGCAGGAGAGCAGGACCUAGCUGAUGUUCUGGCUUGGAGCGGAAGGUGAAGGCUGAAAAGACUACAAGAUGUGUGAGCGUGUGAGUGAGCCCCUGCCUCUUUGGGCCCACUGUCUGUGUGGGCAGAGUAGUGUCACACCAUCAGCACGUGAGGCUCGUGGGUGGACAGGAGGAAUUGUGUCCAUCUCCAUGGGAACCCAAGGAGGAAUGAAGAUGCAAUGCUUCUAGAUUCUCUUCCUCGUGUGAGUGACUAUGGAGCACAUCAAUCUAGGCUCAUCUUCAGAUCCCAUCACUUACCAAUCAGGAACCAGACAUGGAGAGCUUUGGAAGCCAAGAACUCACCCAACUCCGCAGAGAGGAAACAGAAGAGAGAUUUGCAUAUGAAAGUCCAAAGUAACAACUAGCCUUCCGCACACCCUCCAGGUGACUCAGCUUCUCCCAAGCCAGGUUUGCUGGAAUUUGAAAAGAAAGGAAUCAGUAGGAAUCAGGUUUAUGCCAUGUGGCCCCCAUGAGGACUGGAUCACCUGCAGCCUCACCUAGAUUCCUCAGGCUGAAACAACGUUCCUCCAGUUUUCACAACCUUCUGCAGCCGAGUGCCUCAAAACCCUGUUCCGUCUGCAUCCUCCGUGCGCUGCCGAGAGCGGCUCACACCCACCACUCCUCAUUCUCUACUCUCCACCUCGCCUUCUUCUCAUCCCCGCUGCAGAGUCAGAGCCCAGGCCUCUCCGACUGAACAGCAGAUGAUGCCAAGCAUCUUCUUGUUUUCUGAGUUUUACCGAAGCUCAGACAGGUGGUGCCAAAGUGCUGACCACGACCACAUACCCCACCGCCUCCCAGGACCCCUCUCCUCUCUCUUCCCUCCCAAACAGUAGAACAACCAGGAAAUCCUCUCCACCCAGACUUGGGGCCCGUCAUGAUCUAAGCAUUAACCUGAGACUUUUCAAAAUAUUCCUCGGGUAUGAGCAGAGGAGACUCACUGGACUAGCUCUCCCUCCUCAGCGCGGGCCUGAGAGGAAGACCCACUGAGGGGUGCUCACUUCCUCCAGCUGACCUGCACCACCUUCCUCCGAGGGGCUGAGUGAGGCGGACUCCACAGAGGCCUUUGGAUUGGUCCCCUGCACUGUCCAGCCGCUCGGAUAUGAGGAGACGUUUGUUGCCUCCUCCCUGAGGGGCAAGGGUGCCUCUGCAUCUGGAGAGCUCCCCUAGGCGCUAGUGGUGAGAGGAGGUAUUGUUCAGACCGAGUUAUGACAUCACUGGCGCUUUCCCGUGACUUGAAAACAGGCACAAUUCUAGCCUCACCUUCCCUCCUCUGCCUCAGGAACUAGGAACCACCCUGUCCUGAUCCUAUGAGCUGAGAAGGGUUACCCAGUCCCCUGCCCCUGAGCAGCCAGCCUCCUGCAGGGAGAGGUCCAGGUCACUGCCAAGGUUCCAUGGUGGCUUCUCUGGUCCUCCUUCCUCGUGGGGCUGGAAUAGCUCCUCAGGCCAUUGCACUCGAAUUUCCAGACCUAAGUGUCUGGAAGAGCAGGACCGAGCUCUCCCUGAGGAAGCUUCCCCCCAGACCACCCCUCUGUGCUCUGUGCCACAGCUGUCUACGCCACGUCUGAAAGGGAGCUCAGGCUCAGCAGCCCAGAGAAAGAGCCAUGGGACCCGUCGGGUCCUUUAACAGUGUGAUCUGCCUCCAUGAGCACCAUGGCGUUCAUCAGCCCCCGAUGCCCUAAUGACCCGUUG